AACGAACGCUGGCGGCAUGCCUAACACAUGCAAGUCGAACGAGACCUUCGGGUCUAGUGGCGCACGGGUGCGUAACGCGUGGGAACCUGCCCUUAGGUUCGGAAUAACUCCCCGAAAGGGGUGCUAAUACCGGAUAAUGUCUUCGGACCAAAGAUUUAUCGCCUUUGGAUGGGCCCGCGUUGGAUUAGCUAGUUGGUAGGGUAAAAGCCUACCAAGGCGUCGAUCCAUAGCUGGUCUGAGAGGAUGGUCAGCCACACUGAGACUGAGACACGGCCCAGACUCCUACGGGAGGCAGCAGUGGGGAAUAUUGGACAAUCGGCGAAAGCCUGAUCCAGUAAGGCCGCGUGAGUGAUGAAGUCCUUAGGGUAGUAAAGCACUUUUACCCGGGAUGAUAAUGACAGUACCGGGAGAAUAAGCUCCGGCUAACUCCGUG
rnacentral:rRNA from 1 species